GCUGAGUCUCCGGUUAUCAAAGCCGGAGCCGGAAUUGGUACCGGUACUGGUGAUCCGUGUUGCAUUGAACAGGAAUCGAACGGUUCGGUUCAUGGCGUUAGGUGCAACGAAGUUGCUUCAAUUAAGGAUCGUUAUAGGAAUGGAGUUGUUGUGUAUAGGAGGAACAAGAGGUUGAAGAGAGCGGCUAAUGUUGAUGGCGGUGAAUCGACUGAUUCCAAGUGUAAUUCAGGUGUGAUUAAGGAUGAUAUCAAGGGUAUUUCUGGCAAUGUGGAGAGUGUGAAGGAAAUGGUGGAGGUUGAAGUCAAAGAGGAGUCAACGUUGACAGUGAACUGUGCUACUGUUGCUGGGAGGAGGCUUACAAGGUCGGUUUUGAAGCUGAAUGUGGAGCCUCUUGAUAUGUCGAAUGAGAAUUUGGAAGUGUUGGACGGGAA
rnacentral:misc_RNA from 1 species